AACAGAAGCUAUGGAGUCAAUCAUGUAUACAAAUUCAAGUAUCUUUUGUCUGUAGGAGGUGACAAUCCUACAGAAAAAUGGCGGUCUCUGAGUCAUAGCUGGCGAGUCUGAUUAUUUCCCUCCACACAAC
ensembl:scaRNA